AUCAGCACAAACAGUUGUAGAGCAUUUAGAUAUAUUUUCUAAUAUUUACAUGGUAGAGUUGUAUGACUGUAUAGGUGAGUGCCUAGUUGGGAAGAGUCUGUACAAGAUCAGGCAAGUCAAGUGUGCUGUAAUCCGAUUGCCUGCAGAAACAGUUUUUGAGCUUCUUCGCAUGAGACCGUUCGCAUCGAUAGUUUUACGGUACAAAUUGCAUGCAAAAAUUAGAGGCCAAGACAAUGCCAACUCACCACCAGUUUUGACAUUCCGAAGAGUAAAAAAAAGAGUCUAUGAAACCACAUUUCCAAAACGGCAUUGGUAUCACCACAGAGCAUGGCGGUAUCCCCCUAAGAUAAGGAUGUGAGGUUCCGUGUCUGCCUGUUCUGUUGUUUUUUCUAUGUUAUGGUAUUUUGGUUUGUUGUUGUCUAUUAUCUUGAACAUAGCUUGUGUCCUUUGUUAUUAGCCCCACCAGUGUCACACCUGUUCCCCCUUAGCAUUCCCUACUUUGUUUGAGCUGUUCUGUUCCCUCAUCGUGAGGCAUUUUUUGUCCUGUUUUCACCCUCUCAGUGAACCGACUCUAGCCCACCCUUUUUAACCAUUCUGCCUGCCUUGUGUUCUUGCCUUCCUUCUCGACUACUCGCCUGCCUCGUGUUUCGGUACUCUUGCUCGUCUGUGUUUUCUGUGCCUGACCACGAUUACUUGCUGGAACCCUUUAAUAAAUCUGCCUGUCGCUCUGCGUCUGGGACCACACCACUUCUGCCUUGCUGAGUGAUUCAUGACAAAGGAUCCAUCUCAAUGUACUUCACAGGUGCCUAGGGAGCAAGGGGCCACCUACUUCACGCAAUCCUGCUUCAGGGGACAGUUGCUGUCCCUCCACCUGCAAACAUUCCUGGGAUAGGAGUCACCAUCCCCAUGUCAUCGUUGGAGAUGCUGCUUUUCCAUUGCAUGUAAAUCUGAUGAAGCCCUUUCAAAGUGCCAAUCUGAACAAAAGCAAGAGGAUCUACAAUUAGCAACAUUCACGGGCCAGACUUGUGAUUGAGAACUCAUUUGGUAUGACGGUCUCAAGGUGGAGAAUUCUAGGCAGACCGUCGGAAUUCCUACCAGACAAAUGUACACAUGUUGUGAAGGCCUGUGCUGCAUUGCACAACCAUCUGGCCUAUACAGAUGCUGUAAACACACCUGCAACAAAGUAUAUACCACCUAAUGUCAAAGACUCUUUUGACCAAUGGUGAGACACAGCCAGGGAGUGGAGAAGACCGGUCACAGAGGGAGGCACCUUGGCUGAUGCAGGGAGAGCCUCUUGGGCUGCUGUUGGAGUCCUCAAUGAUCUGAUGAGGUUUUUCAUGUCCCAUGGCAGGAUACGGUGAUUGCGAGGACAUCUCAGAGCACAGCCCUCUUCAGAUCAACCCACGGAUGUUCAAUUGGAUUCAGCUUUCUAACAGACGCCUGAAGGUUUUGUGCCAAAGUUGCCUGGUAUUUGGAACUGUUCAUAAUUCCCUCCACCCUGAAGUACAGCCCCAAAGCAUGAUGCUGCCACCACCAUGCUUCACUAAUACCACACCUGCCGAAUGGAGUCAGCGGGGAGCGACCUGAUUCUCCAGCAUGGGAACAUGUUCGCGUCCCUGGGGGAGGCCGUGACAGAGAUGGUCCACGCUAUGCAGCGGUUGGAGGCGAGGCUGCAAUCUGAGCAGCAACCCCCGACACAAGACCCGGCUGGAGUGCCCCUGCGAUCGUCUUCACCGUCACCGAGGAGGACCAUACAACUGAGCCUUCCCCAGGGAUUCGGCGGGGACGCUGCCCAUUGCUCUGGGUUCCUGCUCCAGUUGGAGCUCUACUUCGCCUCCAUCAGCCCUCAC
ensembl:lncRNA